ACGCUCGACACCUACUGGAGGCAGCAGUCGGGAAUAUUGCGCAAUGGAGGAAACUCUGACGCAGUGACGCCGCGUGCAGGAAGAAGGUUUUCGGAUUGUAAACUGCUUUAGACAGGGAAGAAAAAGGACAGUACCUGUAGAAUAAGCUCCGGCUAACUACGUGUCAGCAGCCGCGGUAAUCUGAGCGGGCUGGCAAGGC
rnacentral:rRNA from 1 species